rfam:Acetohalobium arabaticum DSM 5501, complete genome.
UAGUUGGUGAAAGUCCAAUCCGAGUAAUAACUCAGUAGCUCGGUAGUUGACAGACUUGGUAGGGAGAAAUUCCUAUUUUGUAACUGUGACAAAGUCACCAAAGUGUGGCGAUUAAAACUACAGAUCCGCAGGA